AGCCAGAAGUGAUUUCUGAGCGCACAGCCAGGAGUAACCCUGAGUGUCACUGGGUGUAGCCCAAAAACUAACCAAAAAAAACCUCAAAAGUAUGGUCCCAUACAGCUGAGUUGAAAAGAAUGAACUUCACACUGACCAAAUAUCGAAAGACCCCAUGAUGUAGGGGCCACUCAGGCAGUAGCUGCUCAUCUCCACAGGGAUAUGGGAGCCUCUGCCCACCCCAUGGCUGCCUUGAGAGUCCUGAGUACCUGCUCUGCUCUCUUGAGGUAUCCUAAAGGGAAGGAAGACGAGAACCACACACAGGAUGACUUAAACUUUGAUGACUAAAUUUUUAAAAAGGAAAUGGCAUUUGAUUUUAAAAACGGAAUGGCUGUAUUUCCUUGUAUGCUGCUGAAAGAGUGAACAGUGAAGUUAGAUGAUUUCAACCAUUUGAAAAAUUUUUGUUUUUGCAAAUGCCCUACUGCUUGCGCCACCUCUCCAGCCCCUGAAAAGUUUAAUUCAGCAUUGGUUUUGGUAAAACUUGAACAAACAUGGAAUAAGUUGGGAAAA